UACGAAGGGUGCAAACGUUGCUCGGAAUCAUUGGGCGUAAAGCGCACGUAGGCGGCCCAGCAAGUUGGAUGUGAAAUCCCUCGGCUCAACCGAGGACGUGCAUCCAAAACUGCUGGGCUUGAGUACUGAAGAGGAUCGCGGAAUUCCCGGUGUAGAGGUGAAAUUCGUAGAUAUCGGGAGGAACACCAGUGGCGAAGGCGGCGAUCUGGGAAGAUACUGACGCUGAGGUGCGAAAGCGUGGGGAGCA
rnacentral:rRNA from 1 species